rnacentral:rRNA from 1 species
UAAUAUAAGUAUUAUUAUUAUUAUUAAUUAAAAGUAUUUUUUAUGUUAUUAUUUUAGUAUUAUUAUGAAUUUAUUUAUGUUAUUAUAGUUGAUUAUUACAGUGAGGGUUAAAUGAAAGAGUUGAAAAUUUUAUUUUUGAGGAGAAAAGUAUUUGUACCUUUUGUAUCAGGGUUUAUUAAAAAUUAUUAAUUUAUUUUUUGUUCUCGAAUUGGGAAAGAGUUACUUAUUUAUGAUUUAAAUUGUUGUAAAAAUAUAUUGAAUUAAUAAGUGGUAAUGAAAUGUUAUUCGUUUCCUAAGAUAUCUAGUUUCUCAAGAUGAAAAUUUAAUUUUGGUUUUUUAUUAUAAUAUUUAUUUGUACUUGAGUUUAUGUAUUUAUAUGUAUUAUGGGAAAUUCUUAUAAUUUUGGGGAUAAGCUCGGAUUUAAAAUUUAGAUAUAUGGUGUUUUGUAUUUAGAAUAUGAGCUUUUAAUUAGUUAUUAUUUAUGAGUUUGUUAUAGAUCAUUUUAUUUAAUUAUUUUUAUAGAUAUAUUAAGUAUAUAUUGAGAUGUUAAAAUUAAUUUAUAUUUUAUGUAAUAAUGAUGAAAUUAGUAAAUGAUUUAAUUGUUUAAAUUGUAUUGAUGUUUAUUUAUUUUAAGGAAUUAGGCAAAAUAAUUGUUCGCCUGUUUAACAAAAACAUGUCUUCUUGAUAUGAUAUGAAGUCGUACCUGCCCAAUGAGUAUUUAAAUGGCCGCGGUAUAUUGACCGUGCAAAGGUAGCAUAAUCAUUAGUCUCUUAAUUAGAGGCUGGAAUGAAUGGUUUGACGAAAUAAUUACUGUCUCGUGAUAAUAAUUUGAAUUUUACUUUUGAGUUAAAAGGCUCAAAUGGUAAUAGGGGACGAGAAGACCCUAUAGAUCUUGAUAAUUUAUAUUAAUUUUUUUGGUUAGAUGUGUUUAAUAGAUUUUAAUGUAUUGUAUUUGGUUGGGGUGACAGGAGAAUAUAAUAACUUCUUAUUAUUUAACUAUGAUGAUUGGUUAAUUGAUCCUAUAUUAUGGAAUAAAGAUAAAGAUACCUUAGGGAUAACAGCGUAAUGUUAUUGGAGAGUUCUUAUUGAUAAUAAAGAUUGCGACCUCGAUGUUGGAUUAAGAAAAUUAUUAAGUGCAGAAGCUUAAUUUAUUGGUCUGUUCGACCAUUGAAUUCUUACAUGAUCUGAGUUCAGACCGGUGUGAGCCAGGUUGGUUUCUAUCUCUAUUUAUUUAUUUAUAUAUUUUAGUACGAAAGGAUUGAAUAUAUUAAAUGUUUUAUUGUUUGGAAUAAUAUUAAU